GAUGAACGCUGGCGGUAGGCCUAACACAUGCAAGUCGAACGGCAGCACAGGAGAGCUUGCUCUCUGGGUGGCGAGUGGCGGACGGGUGAGGAAUACAUCGGAAUCUACUCUGUCGUGGGGGAUAACGUAGGGAAACUUACACUAAUACCGCAUACGACCUACGGGUGAAAGCAGGGGAUCUUCGGACCUUGCGCGAUUGAAUGAGCCGAUGUCGGAUUAGCUAGUUGGCGGGGUAAAGGCCCACCAAGGCGACGAUCCGUAGCUGGUCUGAGAGGAUGAUCAGCCACACUGGAACUGAGACACGGUCCAGACUCCUACGGGAGGCAGCAGUGGGGAAUAUUGGACAAUGGGCGCAAGCCUGAUCCAGCCAUACCGCGUGGGUGAAGAAGGCCUUCGGGUUGUAAAGCCCUUUUGUUGGGAAAGAAAUCCAGCUGGCUAAUACCCGGUUGGGAUGACGGUACCCAAAGAAUAAGCACCGGCUAACUUCGUGCCAGCCGCCGCAGUAA
rnacentral:rRNA from 1 species